rnacentral:rRNA from 1 species
GCCGACGACCGGCGCACGGGUGCGCAACGCGUAUACAAUCUGCCUUAUGCUGAGGGAUAGCCCAGAGAAAUUUGGAUUAAGACCUCAUGGUAUCGGAAGACGGCAUCGUUUUCUGAUUAAAGGUUACGGCAUAAGAUGAGUAUGCGUCCCAUUAGCUAGUUGGUGUGGUAACGGCACACCAAGGCAACGAUGGGUAGGGGUCCUGAGAGGGAGAUCCCCCACACUGGUACUGAGACACGGACCAGACUCCUACGGGAGGCAGCAGUGAGGAAUAUUGGACAAUGGACGAAAGUCUGAUCCAGCCAUGCCGCGUGCAGGAAGACGGUCCUAUGGAUUGUAAACUGCUUUUAUACGGGAAGAAUAAGGGCUACGUGUAGCCCGGUGACGGUACCGUAAGAAUAAGGAUCGGCUAACUCCGUGCCAGCAGCCGCGGUAAUACGGAGGAUCCAAGCGUUAUCCGGAAUCAUUGGGUUUAAAGGGUCCGUAGGCGGACUAUUAAGUCAGGGGUGAAAGUCUGCAGCUCAACUGUAGAAUUGCCUUUGAUACUGGUAGUCUUGAGUUAUGGUGAAGUGGCUAGAAUAUGUAGUGUAGCGGUGAAAUGCAUAGAUAUUACAUAGAAUACCGAUUGCGAAGGCAGGUCACUAACCAUACACUGACGCUGAUGGACGAAAGCGUGGGGAGCGAACAGGAUUAGAUACCCUGGUAGUCCACGCCGUAAACGAUGGAUACUAGCUGUUCGGACUUCGGUCUG